CCCGCACCCGCGCCGCCCGCUGAAGCUGCGCCGGCGCCGGCUCCCGCGCCUGAACCAGCGGCACCAGCAGCGCCACCACCAGUUGAAGCUUCAGCGUAAAAACACACAAGGCAGUUCGCUUCGCAUCGCAACAACAUGGAAUCUUCGUACAUUCACGGCAAUGUUAAACCAUAAAGCCAUCAUGGGACGUUUUCGAUAUUUUUGUACCAUUUCACCUUUACUUUACAUUAGUACAUUUUUAAAUUUUGUAUAAUGAAGGUAAUAAAUUAUUGUUAAGUUUAAA